UUCUUGUUAGUAUAAAAGUAUACCUGACUUCCAAUCAGGUGGUCCUGAUAAUUCAGGACGAGAAA
rnacentral:tRNA from 1 species